UCGAAAGCCAGAGAAAUGGAUUCUACAAUCCACCGGCUGAGGGUCUGCUUAGAAGCAGGAAAACCCCUCUUA